AGAGUUUGAUCAUGGCUCAGGAUGAACGCUAGCUACAGGCUUAACACAUGCAAGUCAGGGGCAGUCAGUUUGGUUUGCUUGCAAACCUAAAGCUGGCGACCGGCGCACGGGUGAGUAACACGUAUCCAACCUGCCUCAUACUCGGGGAUAGCCUUUCGAAAGUAAGACUAAUACCCAAUGAUAUCUCUAGAAGACAUCUGAAAGAGAUUAAAGAUUUAUCGGUGAUGGAUGGGGAUGCGUCUGAUUAGCUUGUUGGCGGGGUAACGGCCCACCAAGGCAACGAUCAGUAGGGGUUCUGAGAGGAAGGUCCCCCACAUUGGAACUGAGACACGGUCCAAACUCCUACGGGAGGCAGCA
rnacentral:rRNA from 1 species